rnacentral:rRNA from 1 species
AUUGAACGCUGGCGGAAUGCUUUACACAUGCAAGUCGAACGGUAGAGGGGGCAACCCCUCGAGAGUGGCGAACGGGUGAGUAAUAUAUCGGAACGUGCCCAGUCGUGGGGGAUAACGUAGCGAAAGUUACGCUAAUACCGCAUACGAUCUAAGGAUGAAAGCGGGGGAUCGCAAGACCUCGCGCGAUUGGAGCGGCCGAUAUCAGAUUAGGUAGUUGGUGGGGUAAAGGCUCACCAAGCCAACGAUCUGUAGCUGGUCUGAGAGGACGACCAGCCACACUGGAACUGAGACACGGUCCAGACUCCUACGGGAGGCAGCAGUGGGGAAUUUUGGACAAUGGACGCAAGUCUGAUCCAGCCAUUCCGCGUGCAGGAUGAAGGCCCUCGGGUUGUAAACUGCUUUUGUACGGAACGAAAAGGUCUCUCUUAAUACGGGGGGCUCAUGACGGUACCGUAAGAGUAAGCACUGGCUAACUACGUGCCAGCCGCCGCGGUAA